rnacentral:rRNA from 1 species
GAUGAACGCUGGCGGCGUGCCUAAUACAUGCAAGUCGAACGAAACUUCUUUAUCACCGAGUGCUUGCACUCACCGAUAAAGAGUUGAGUGGCGAACGGGUGAGUAACACCUUGUCCACCUGCCCAAACGAGGGGGAUCACACUUUGAUACAGCUUCUAAUCCCCCAUAACCAUAGUUACAUCAUGUAACUAUGUAAAAGUUAGCUAUCCUACCGCUUUUUGAUUGGCCCGCGGCGCAUUAGCUAGUUGGUAGGGUAAAGGCUUACCAAGGCGAUGAUGCGUAGCCGAACUGAGAGGUUGAUCGGCCACACUGGAACUGAGACACGGCCCAAACUCCUACGGGAGGCAGCAGUAGGGAAUAUUCCACAAUGGGCGAAAGCCUGAUGGAGCAACGCCGCGUGGGUGAAGAAGGUCUUCGGAUCGUAAAACCCUGUUGUUAGGGAAGAAAGUGAGUGGGAGUAACUGCUCACGUUUCGACGGUAUCUAAACAGAAAGCCACGGCUAACUACGUG